rnacentral:rRNA from 1 species
AUUGAACGCUGGCGGCAGGCCUAACAUAUGCAAGUCGAGCGGAAACGAAGGGAGCUUGCUCCCAGGCGUCGAGCGGCGGACGGGUGAGUAACACGUGAGAAUCUGCCCAUUAGUGGGGGACAACUCGGGGAAACUCGAGCUAAUACCACAUAAUCCCUACGGGGGAAAGCAGGGGACCUUUUGGCCUUGCGCUGAUGGAUGAGCCCACGUCGGAUUAGCUUGUUGGUGAGGUAAAGGCUCACCAAGGCGACGAUCCGUAGCUGGUCUGAGAGGAGGAUCAGCCACACUGGGACGGAGACACGGCCCAGAAUCCUACGGGAGGCAGCAGUGGGGAAUCUUGGACAAUGGGGGCAACCCUGAUCCAGCCAUGCCGCGUGUGUGAAGAAGGCCUUCGGGUUGUAAAGCACUUUCAGCAGGGAGGAAGGCUUUGGCCGAAUAGGUUGAAGUACUUGACGUUACCUGCAGAAGAAGCACCGGCUAAUUUCGUGCCAGCAGCCGCCGUAA